rnacentral:tRNA from 1 species
UAGAUGGAUGCUCGUCGGUUGGAGCGCUUAGCUGUUAACUAAGAGUUUGAAGGAUCGAGGCCUUCUCAUCUAG